rnacentral:rRNA from 1 species
UACGGAGGGUGCAAGCGUUAUCCGGAUUUACUGGGUUUAAAGGGUGCGCAGGCGGAUAUGUAAGUCAGUGGUGAAAUCUCCGGGCUUAACCCGGAAACCGCCAUUGAUACUAUUUAUCUUGAAUGCCGUGGAGGUGAGCGGAAUAUGUCAUGUAGCGGUGAAAUGCUUAGAUAUGACAUAGAACACCUAUUGCGAAGGCAGCUCACUACACGGAGAUUGACGCUCAUGCACGAAAGCGUGGGGAUCAAACAGG